CCCCUUGAAGAACACAAGGUAGAUAGGUGAGAGGUGUAAGUGCAGCAAUGUAUUCAGCUGACUCAUACUAAUAGGUCGAGGACUUAAUCAA
rfam:Clostridium cadaveris strain NLAE-zl-G419 genome assembly, contig: Ga0070261_122